AACUAUUUAAAUUCAAAAUAUGAUUGUUUAUUGGAAUUUUUGUUUAACUUGUAACACAGAUUUUCUCAUGUAAACAACAUACCUGCAAUAAACCAUCAAUAUCCUCCAAAUUAACUGUUGGCUUGAAAGCCAUAUUUAUUACAGAAAUAAAAACACAGGCAUGUAAGUACCAUUUGAAUUUCAAAACAAUCAAUGCCAAUAAUAGACAAAAAUGAUUUCCAUGUUGAAUUCUAAGUGGACUGCAAAAAAAUUCCAAAGUAUAGUCAUUGCCCAACCCGUUCUCAUCAGUCUGCGUAUAAAUAACACGACUUUACACUUUCUAUUUGCGUGUAAUGCAUACGCCAAAUGCCAUUUUUGCGUGCAUAUGAUACGCCAAUCCUUCCCAUUAAUUUCGGUGGAGAGCAGAUGCGUCCAAAUAACACGCAUCAUCUUCAGCGGCAGUGACGUCACUAGCGAGGCUCGUUCAGUUCACCUGAUGCGCGUACACCUUCAAACAGGUAAGCAAGGUUACGUCGGAUUACAUACUCCACAACAACCUGUAAUCCAGCAGAUCUUUAAAGAAGCCAUCUCUUGUAAAAUCUCUCUCUCUCUCUCUCUCUCUCUCGCUCUGCUAGAAUUAACAGGGAACUUCAACUCCACGCUCCCAAUGCUGAUAUUGAAGAAGCUGUCAAGGGGGCUGAACAAGUCCUUCAAAGGAUCAACCCUUCACAGGAAGGCCUGUCAUGAGAUUUGAAUUUGACCAUCUUGUGCAUUUAUGAAGAAGACCAAAAGCUGCGAAGGCAAACACUUCCAAUGGAUUUCUCACAGAUUACUUAAUCAUUCUUCAUCAACUCUUCACAAUAUCAGCCCAUUCAAAAGCUUCCAGAUCUUCCUCUCUUGUGUGACACAUCUGCUCUCAGUCCUUUACUGCCAACCUCCAGUCUUAGCAUUUCUGCUUGUAUUCAUUUUUCCUCUACAUUCAUCACUCCAAUCUCUACUAUAAGCACUCCUGUAUAUAUAUAUAUACUCAUAAUAAUUAUUAUUAUUAUUAACCAUUUAUUUGUUUUGCAUUUAUUCACAAUAGAAGCAAACAAUGAUUACAGGAUAUAUGUUUUUAAAGGUGAUAAUUGUAAAAUAUUGGAGCAUUGUUCUUAAUCAUUUUUGCCUAUUUGGUUGAUAAAGGGAAGAAAACAAUAUAUUUUCAACUGUAGCCUUGAUUAUUCUUUGGCAUCUUUUGUCAGGAUUUCUGUAAACAAAUUCCCUUUUUAUUUUUGAAUAUUAAACUUAUGUUUUUUGAAGGGAGUUUCUGUUGCAAUUUUGUUUGUUUGUUUUCACUUAGUUACCUCUAUGCAUUUUUUUUUUUUUUUAUCAACUUUUCUUUUUUUUCAUAGUGGAAUAAACUGGAGAGAGACUGUUCUGGGCACUAUGUUUAUCUGCGAAAAGUUUGACAUAUCAAUAAACACUGUAAAAUGACUAGA